CGUGGGUAACCUGCCCAAGAGAUCGGGAUAACACCUGGAAACAGAUGCUAAUACCGGAUAACAAUAGAUGAUGCCUAUCAACUGUUUAAAAGAUGGUUCUGCUAUCACUCUUGGAUGGACCUGCGGUGCAUUAGCUAGUUGGUAGGGUAACGGCCUACCAAGGCGAUGAUGCAUAGCCGAGUUGAGAGACUGAUCGGCCACAUUGGGACUGAGACACGGCCCAAACUCCUACGGGAGGCAGCAGUU
rnacentral:rRNA from 1 species